UCACACCAAAAUCUCCGGCGAUCAAUUGAAACAACCAUGUUCGGUGACAUCCGCAGUUCCCAGUUGUCGGAGAUUAUCAAAUUGAAAGAUGAAUCUGAUUUCGAGAAGCUUCUCUCAUUAGGUAAUCAGAUCUCCGUAACAUGCUUCGGUUCUCUUCUCUCCGGUGCGUACACUUCCUCACUCGUUUUGUGUGUCAUUUGAAUCAUCGAGACCCAAAUUCUGGAUCGACCUGUUCAGCUUUCUUGAGUUGUUCCCGAAUCUACUUGGUAUGUGAUGAAGUCUUGACACUGAGACCGCAAGUUGGUACUCAAGGUUACUAAUAACAAAGAGUGUCUCAAGGUCAAGACAGACCAAGCACAAAGAAGCAACGAAGAUGGAUUCCAUAGCUUUAAGAAGUGUGUUGACAUUACAUAGAACCAUAUUUCUUUAUUUGUUGUUAGACAUGUAUGAUGGUUGUGAUACAUUUUUAUAUUGUUUGGGUACUUUUACGAUGUUUCUGCACUA